rnacentral:lncRNA from 1 species
AGAAAAUAGAAUUAGAAAACAUGAUAUCCCAAUCAUACCUAAUCUGGUUAGUGUACUGUCCAAACAAACAUUGCAAAGCACAGAUAGCAACAAGAGCAAUAAAACAAUUAAAAUUUGUCAUACGUAGGGUGUAAAUCCAUCGUAAGAAGUAAUUUCGAUGAUAAGAUUCUCCAAGCAAGGACAGUGCUUCAGCAAGUUCAGUAUUCCUGGUAGGUGCCAUAUCACAAAAUCCAAUUGAAGAUGAAGGGAUUUGCAGCUGAAGGUAGGAGAUGGUAGAUUGUUCAACUGCCACACAGAAAAUGCCUAGGCAGACAAAAAUUAAACAUAAGAGUUCAAGAAACAAAAUAAAUAGUGAUUUUUGUAUUGAUCUUAAUGAACAAGGAUUUGUACUGACUACCACAGGGUAAGUAACAAAAGCCUUAAAAAGCUGAUUGCACAAUGUACAUGAAAUAUCGACAGAUGCCUGAGUCUGAGACGUUAAAGACAAAACCCAACACCAUAACCCCUCUAAUCCAGUUUAUAGUUAGUAUAUCACCCUAAAGGUUAUCUUUCAAUAGAGUCAGGAAUCUUAACUAUACCUGGAGAAGUUAUGAAGAAAGAGAAAAAGUGUGUACCAGAGCAAGCCAGGAGCAUAGCUUCAGAGUUUUGGCCCUGCUAAAUGUUUGGAGGAAUAUUCUCAAAUUUUGGUAAUUAUUGUCCUCAUUGAAGUCAAAUAUUAGAUUACGCUUGACAGAUACUUCAGCAAUAGAUGCUACAUUUGCAAUAUCCAGCACCUCCACAGCUCCAGACAUAUCGAAUGAUAGGAGAGUUGGACAGGAGACAUGUAUCCUGGGUUGAAACCAUCUAAUGUCAAGCUUCAAUGUCUUUAAAUUUGAAUUGAGCAGAACCACUCUUCUACGGCAAUAGCAAAGCUGCAGCGUCAAUUCCUCAAGCAUCGGGCAACCAGAUAGAAUAUAAUUCAUUGACUGAUCCAUUAGCAUAACAUUAUCAAGAUAUAAUGUUUUUAGAGACUUGAGCUCACUCUUCCUUUUUAAAUUUAUCUUACAGUAUGUCAACCGGAGUUCAACCAAAUGAGGGCUGCUUAGAACACAACUAGGCAGAUCAUAAAAAGCUUGUGGCUGAUCUGUACCAUGCUCAUAGAAAGACAAGUCAAGGACCUCCAAAUUCUUAUUUAGUGCGAACUGGAUCCAGGCACCAAUUUCAUUAGCCAUCCUUUUCUCACUCCUCAGGAAAUCAUAAUGCCAUAUGUCUGUUCUGCCGGAUGUUCUUUGCCAAAAUUCAUAAAAUGAUCUAAAAUGAAACUUAAGGCAGAACUUAUGAAUAGUUGGGCCCUUAUGAAGAAGAAGCACAUGACGAACAAAGUUAACAUACUUCUCAUCAUAGAUUGGGCGACUAGCUCGAGCAUAGCAGUCACAUAUGUGCCCCGGCCACAUGCAUUGAUCGAAAUUGAGUGUCUGGAUGAAUGGCCAGAGGUGAUGAAAUCUUCUAAUUAACAUUGUGUUGACAACAUCCUUUGAUGGCAAUAAGGAGAGAAUAUAGAUGAGGAUGGCAUCUGGUAGUCCACUGAAGCGGUCUUCGUUAAAAACACAGCUUCUUUGUUUUGCAGACAUAUUCAUUUCUGUAAAACAUCACAACACAUUUUAGGUGCGAAAAAUUGAAAACUAUGAGCUGAAGAAAAUCUUCAGCCUUAAAUUGGGAUAUUCAGAAAGAACAGUUUUUUUCCAGAUUGAGGAUUAAUCUAUAGAGAGUGACUGGCAUAUGUUAUUCCUACAAACCAAGAAGAAGGGAACAAAACCUUUCAUCCCCUCAAGUUAAUCAGAUUGAGGAAAUCCUAGGGUGCAUCAAUCUCAGCAUAUCAAAUUUCCAUUUAGAGAUGACAGUUCAUGAUGAUAAGGCAUAAGAUCAAACAUAUUAGGAAGUUUUUUGAAGUAAUUAAUCAUAAAGUUUAAAUUGAAAAGAAGUUCUAAGACAAGAAAAUACAAUCUUAAAUUUAAUAACUUUCUAAGAGUAAUCACUUAUAUAACAAACAAGUGUAAACUCAACUAUCUCUUACACAAAACAUCAAAAGGAUACAACAACUACGUCUCAGCCCCAAACAAGUUGAGGUCAGCUAUAUGUAGUAUCCUACAACAACAUACCCAAUCCCAUAAGUGGGGUUUUACCCCUAUCUUUGUGGAUAGAGAGGUGGUUUCCAAUAGACCCCCGGCUCAAGAAAAUCAUUUCCCAGAACGGGUUUGAACAAAACAAAAGAUAGCCAAAGUAAAAGUGACAACAAUAGUAAUAGAAAUGAAGAAUAAGAUAAUGCUAGCAUAAUAACAAUAUUGUUAAGUAUAUAGGUGCUCCAGCCUAGAUCCCUGCUCUACCACUAGGAAGAGGUCGCUCGACUACCAACUAACAGUCUACAUUAAUCCUCGACCUCCAUGCUCUCCUAUCUAGGGUCAUGUCCUCAGUGAGCUGAAGAUGUGACAUGUCUUGUCUAAUCACCACUCCUCAAUUUUUCUUCGGUCUACCUCGACCUCUCCUUAGACCUAUCAUUUUCAACCUCUCGCACCUUCUUAUUGGGGUAUCUGUGCUCCUCCUCUUCACAUGCCCAAAUCAUCGCAGUCUCACUUCGAGCAUCUUGUCUGCCAUGGAUGUCACCCCCACCUUGCCCUGUAUAUCUUCAUCCCCUAUCGUAUCUCUCCUAAUAUGCCCACAUAUCCAUCCAAGCAUCCUCAUUUCUGCUACUUUCAUCUUCUGAACUUGAGAGUUCUUGACUGGCCAACACUCAACUCUGUACAAUGUACAACAUAGUUGGUCUAACCACCACUCUAUUGAGCUUACCUUAAAGUCUCACUGAAACAUUCUUAUCACAUAAGACACCAAAUACGAACCUCCAUUUCAUCUACCCAUGUUCUAAUAUGAAGUGUGACAUCCUCAUCGAUCCUCCAUUUCCUUAGAUAAUAGACCCAAAAUACUUAAUUCUUCAUUUGAGUUCAUAUCAUAUCAUCAUAAUUAAUAAAAUAAAAGUAAAAAGUACGCUAAAUAUAUAUAACUGAUACUAAUAAUAACUUUUAAAACAUCUAAAGGAUGCCGCUUAAAAAAAUUUCAAUGGAAAAAGAAAUGUAUAUGCACACACAUCAAAGGCAUUGACCUAAAAGACAAACAAACAGUUCAUAAACCAAACAAUGACAAAGGCUUGCGAAACUGAGUAGGGGCCUUUUCUUUUUGUUUGAAUAACCCAUUGUCACUACCUUUAAUAAGUAAAGUAGGCAAACACAUAGGUCAUUAGCAGUAUUGACAAAGAAGAAGGAGCUGUUGAAAAAAAAAAGAAGCAAAUAUUUCCAUUUUUCUUAUAUAAUAAAAUAAAUUAGAAAGAAAUUUAUUAUUAUUAUUAUUAUUAUACAUAUAUAGGCUAGCUUGACAAGCAACCUUUCCUCUUGAAAAGCUUAACAAGUCUCUAGUAUCUAACCUAAAAAAUAUCAUCAGAACUCAUGGACCAUUAUGUAGCGAUGUAGCUCAUAUUAUAAAGUUACAUAACUACAUUUUCAUUUCGAGGUCCAAAAAUUUGAAAACAACAUAGAAAUCCAGAUUUUCUAUUCUGAAUGGCACCUAACAAGAGUUAACCUGCACACAGAUGCGAUAUGUGCAUGAGAUGUAUACCAGUUUCUGAACAGAUCUCUUUGCUCUUAGAUCAGUAAUGGCACAUACUUGCACAUAUUUAGACAUAUCGAUAAUUUGUUGCCUAGAAAGAGCCACUAUUCAAAAUAGUAUACGAGCACAAACCAAAAUCUCAUAUAUCGCAUGGAGCUUACAGUAGAUCUGUUAAAAUGUGUGACCAUCUUAUCUAAAAACUUAAGUUGUUAAAGAGAGCACACUUUUAUUAUGUAAUUGUAUUCUCAACACGCCUCCUCACGUGCGGGCCAGAUUCUUUUUCAUUAGUCAAGCACGUUGAAAUUCUUUUUUGAUAUGGGUGGUGGUGAGAUUCAAUCUCAGGACCUCUGCCUACUCUGAUACAAUGUUGAAGUGUGUGACCAUCUCAUCUAAAAGUUUAAGAUGUUAGAGAAAGCACACUUUUAUUAUGUAAUUGUAUUCUCAACACGCCUCCUCACGUGCGGGCCAGAUUCUUUUUCAUUAGUCAAGCACGUUGAAAUUCUUUUUUGAUAUGGGUGGUGGUGAGAUUCAAUCUCAGGACCUCUGCCUACUCUGAUACAAUGUUGAAGUGUGUGACCAUCUCAUCUAAAAGUUUAAGAUGUUAGAGAAAGCACACUUUUAUUAUGUAAUUGUAUUCUCGACAAGAUCCAAACCAAAUUUUAACCGAAAAUGGGAACAAGACAAAAUUUAACUAUCUUAAAAGCAGAAUAUUUGGGUAUUUUAUACCUAGAAAAGAAAGGAUCCCAAGAUAUGUUGGUAAUAGAAAGAUGCAAUACAAGUUGAAUCAAAGAAAGAUUCUCAUUUCCAGAUUCAACAUGUCAAAGAGGUUGCAGGUUCAAUUCUUGCUCACAUCAAUUUAAAGGGAGGUGUGUACUUAAAUGUAUUCAACAUAAUGGAAAGGGAAAAUGCUCUCUGAAAACCUAUCUCCCAACCACCAUGAAUGGCCUUAUCAGCCAGCGGCCAACCCUACCCAAAUUCCGAAGCUGGUCUUCCCACUACAGCAAUCCAUUCCCAAACGCCAACACCAAUGCCUUCAAUUAUGCUGAUGUUUUGCACAAUACCCUGCUACAACAAGAGGAAGAGCCUACGAUUAUCAAACCAAUCACCUUCUUGCAUGGCGAACCAACGACAAUGUGGACCACAAAGGAAUUCGAUAGAUUAAUUGUAAGGCUAAAUUUACAAUUCGCAUUGGUAGCAAAAUUCUCCUAUGGCCAUACAGUUUUAUAUGAGUUGAGGAAGGCAAUUCCAAUUCAAUUUGGAGAUCAAGGGACCAUGUAAUAUUGGUUUUCGAGAAGAUAGACACAUUUUGAUAAGACUUUCCCGACUGGAGGACUAUGCGACGUUAAUGUCCAAAGCAUGUGAAUUAAGAGUAAGGAAUAUAUAUUAGCCAUUGAGGUUUUUGAAGUGGGAUCCUUGGUUUAACCCAGAGGAAGAAACAACCAUUACAAUUGCAUGGAUAUCAAUCCUAGGAUUGCCUACAAACCUAUUUGACAAAGAAUUUAUGUUCUCUAUUGGCAAACGCAGUGGGUAAACCCCUAGUGAUUGACAAAGCCACAAAUAACCAAACUAGACUUAGUUGUGUUCAGGUGAAAGUGGAAGUCGAUCUACUCAAAGAAAUUCUUAAGAGAAUCCAAAUAAACCGUGUAGAAGAAGACACCGAAACAGUGAGAUCUAAAUGGCAGAGAAUUCAGUAUGACCAUCUCCCGAAGUAUUGCACACAUUGUAGACUCCAAGGCCAUGAUAUGCAAGGAUGUCGGAUGUUACAUAAACAAGAGGAUAAGAAGAAAACUUUCAAAGACAAGGCAAAGGGUGAGGAAAAUAAAGAGAAUCAAUCAACUAGCGCACCAAAGUUGAAUGGAGUUUACAAGAAUGGAAGAUCAAUCCAUCAUAACUGGAAUGUGGUUCAAAAUAGGAAGAAUAAGGGCAAGCAACAAGAACUCACCCAAAAGGAACAAGAGGAAAGACAAGAACAACACAAAGUUAAUCAGCUGACCAAUGAUAUAAAAGGGAAAGCAGCUAGUAAUACUAACAAAUAUGAGGCCCUUGUAGACCAUAUAGAGGACAAACAGGAAGAAGGAAAAGAGAUGACAAAGGAAGCUCCGCAUGACAACAAUUCUAAAAGGAAGAAGACAACAAAGCCAUGGGUAGAAGCAUCUUUUGGAAAAAUAGAGACAUAAAACGUUGCGGCAAAUAAAGGACAGAAAGAAGAGGCAACAAAGAUAACAGACAAGCAAAUACAAAACCCAAUCAGAGUUAUUUAAUCUCAGUGUUUUGGAGAGCGAGAAGCAAAAAAAAAAAAGAAGCGACAAGGGCUAGCUUCACCGAAGCGAGAUGCGUGAAGCGAAGCGCACACCUUUUUCAACUAAAGCGCUAUUUAGUACAAAAACAAAAAAUAUCAAAUAUGCAUAGAUAAAUAACCAAAAAUUCAAUAGAAAUAACAUAUUUAGCAAAUCUUUCAAUCCUUAAAUAAAAAAGUAAAUAUAAUUUACUACCAAAAAAAAAGAAAGGAACAGUGAAAACAGAGACGGAACAACAAAAAAAAUAUAAAACAGAGGGAAAAUUGCAGAAUAUGGACCAAAAACAGAGCAUAACAGAGAAAGCAAUACAAAGCAGAGAAAAAAAAUAAUUGUGAAACUGAAAGAAAAAAAACAGAGAAGAUUAUAUUGCAAAACAGGAAAAAACAAAACAGGGAAAAUUGCAUACUGCAAGUUGGAAAAAACACAGUUGCCAGAGAAACAAAGAAAAGAAGAAGAGAUGAAAAACUUAACUUGCAGUCACUUUAAAGAGUGUCACAACAAGAGAAGUGAAAUAGAGGGAAAUGUUUGGAAAGAAGGCAAAAAGUGUUUUACGAAAUAAAAAAAAAGCCCUCGUUCUGUCGACCUCACUUAAGCAGAAAAGCGAGAAAAAUUCUCGCUUUUACUGAAGUAUCGCUUCUCGCUUCUGGGACUGAAGCGCUUGCUUCUUUACCAUAGCUUCGCUUCACUGCCAAAAAGGAUACAGCUUCGCUUCACUUUGCUUCUCGCUUUAUGCAAUGGAGCGCUCACUUUUAAUAACACUGUAAUUAAUCUACUACAAACACUUCCACACAACCCAUAAACAAUCAAGAGACACAAGGCUUACAACAUAAUUCACAGGAAAAAAAUCAGAAAAUAUGGAGAAUCAAAGCAUACAAAACAAUAAUCAAAACAUAGACCAAUACCAGCAAGUUCAGAAAGCACAGGAGAGAUGCACACCCCCCAAAGAGCCUCCAGAUGACAACCAGCCAACAACACAGGAAGAACAGGAAUCUGCAGAUUCAAUAGAGACAGGUACAUCAGCAGUGACAGACACAAUUCAGGGUAAUCAGGACAAUGCCAACAGCAAAAGAUAAAAUACAGAGACAACAUCAGAAGAAAAAGGGGAACAAGAAGAAGAUCAUGAAAAAGAGGCAGAUAUUGGAGAUGAUGAUUAUCCAAAACACUCUGUAGAUACAAUACAGACAAACAACAAAAGAGAUUUAUCUCCUAGACAGAUUGCUAAGGUAAAGAAGGAAAGGAAAAUCACUAAAAGCAGAGAUAAAGUGUACCUCCUAAAAAAGGUAUACUAACAAGGACAACCCUCGCCAAAACCAAUUCUCAAUGAAUUGCUCACUUAUAUGGAAUAUAAGGUCUGUUAGUACACAACAGGCUUUUGAAAGAGUAGUGAUAUUGAGCAGACAAAAACACUUCAACAUCACAGCUUUACUGGAACCAUUUCAACAUCAUAGGAACAUUGACAUGUAUAGACUAUGGCAAAAUAUAGGAACAACCUGCCAUAAAUUGAAGGGGGAAAUAUGGCUCUUUAUAGAAGACAGAUUCCAGAUGGAAGUGCAAAUUGAUACAAAACAAUCGUUAUCCUUAAAACUCACAGACAAUGAUGAUGGGCAAGAAACACAGGUUACAAUAGUGCAUGCCAGUACUAAUAGACACACACGAAUUGCCUUGUGGGAUGACUUACAUGAUAUUGCAACAAACAUGACUCUUCCACGGGUAGUAGUAGGAAAUUUCAAUAUGAUAACAGAUGAUAUGGAGAAGCUUGGGGGUCUACCAGCUCAAUACAAUGAAACUAAAGAUUUCAUUCAUUGUAUAAACACUUGUCAACUAGCAGAUUUGGGUUUCGAAGGAAGCAUGUACACUUGGUGGAAUGGAAGAACAGAUGCAAGUUGCAACUUGCAUUUUUUAAAGACUGGAUAGAUGCUUGGGUAAUCAAGCUUUACAAAAUCUAUUCCCCAACUUGGAAGUAGAACACCUCACUAAGCAAGGGUCUGAUCAUUCUCCAUUAAUCUUAACAACCAAAUCAGAAGACAGUCCAAUCAGGAAAACAUUCAGAUUUUUGAACUUUUGGGUGGAGCAUGAGACAUUACAGAAAAUAGUUGAAGACAAUUGGCAGGAAGUGCACAGUUCUGACCCUUUUUCAACUUUCAUAAUAAGCUGAAGAAGGUGAGUAGAGCAUUAUCAAAAAUGGAGUAGGGAUACAUAUGCAGACAUCUUCAAACAGAUAGCCACUUUGGAGGAAGUGGUGCAGGUUCAUGAAAAGGAAUUUGAGACACACCCAACGAACACAAACAGAGAAAAACUGCAGAAGGUACAAGCAAAUCUAAUCAAGUUCUAUACAGUGGAAGAAAAUUUCUGGAAACAAAGGCAGAAAUGCAAUGGUUUGCAGAUGGGGAUAGAAAUACUAAAUUUUUCCACACAUAUGUUAAUGGAAAAAGGAGAAGAUUGAAGUCACAGAGAAUACAAGAUGACAGAGGAGUGUGGCUGGAUAGUGAGGAGGGCAUCGCACAGGAAGCUAUCAGAUUUUAUACAGACCAGAUAAUCUCAAUACUAGUUUUGAGAUGCUAGAAUAUAUCCCAAGAAUGAUAACAGAUGAUCAGAAUGCACAGAUAAUUGAAAUGCCAGACAAGGAAGAAAUAAAAAAUACAGUGUUUGGAUUAAAUUCAGACAUGCAGGAGGACCAGAUGAAUAUACAGGAAAAAGAUCUCAGGCUUGCUGAAACAUAAUUGCCAAAGCUAUGACAAAGAUGGUGAAGUCAUUUUUCUGUGUCCAUGAAGUACCAAGGUACAUAACCUGUAAAAUCUAGUAUUAAUCCCUAAGAAGAAAGACAUCACUACUUUUUCAGACUUGAGACCUAUUAGCUUAAGCAAUUUCACUAGCAAGGUUUUCUCCAGAAUCAUUCAUGAUAGAUUGGUAAAGCUCCUUCCUACAUUGAUAUCUCCACAAGAGUCAGGUUUUUUAGAGGCAUGAGUAUCGUAGAAAACAUCCUACAAGUGCAAGAAUAAUUCAUCAUAUCAGAAUAAGGGAAAAGUCCGCUAAUAUUGUUAUUAAGCUAGACAUGACAAAAGCGUAUGACAGAGCAUCAUGGCUUUUCUUGACUAAGGUGUUGAGAAAAAUGGGAUUUGGAGAGUCCUUGUUUGAUAUGGUAUACAGGAUAGUGUCUAAUAACUGGUACUCAAUACUAGUUAAUGGACAACUUCAAAGAUUCUUAAUCUUCCAGGGGUGUGAAACAUGGAGAUCCCCUAUCACCUACAUUAUUCAAAUUGGCUGCUAAGUGUUUAUCCAGAGCAGUAAAUGCAUUGCACUAUAAUGAUAGAUACAAGGAAUGUGGAACGCCAAAGUGGAGUCCCUAUGUGAAUCACCUAGCCAAUGCAGAUGACACAAUUAUAUUUGCUUCAGCUGACAGGUAUUCUUUAGAACUGAUUAUGAAUGAAUACUCUAGCAAAUUAUGAAAAGGUGAGUGGGCAGCUUAUCAACAAAGACAAGAGUGCAGUUUUCAUGCAUCUGACCCUCCAAAGGUUGGUGGAGCAGGUAUAUUCAGUGACCACGAUCCCAAGAAAAGAGUUUCCUUUUACCUAUUUGGGAGUACCAAUAUACUUUAGCAAAAAACAAAUAUUUUUUACAAAGAAUUGCUGGAUAAAGUUCAAAAUAGAUUAAGUUCCUGGACCGGAAAGCUCUUAUCCGUAGAAGAAAGGACAACCCUGAUUAGAUCAGUCCUGCAGAGUGCCAUCCAUUUGCUAUCAGCAUGUGACCCCUGCAGUAGUCACAACUCAACUUCACAGACUGUUUGCCAAGUUCUUGAAGCAACUCAGUUGGAAACUCUAGUAGACACAGGGCUACUUGGACAAUCUUAUGUCAUCCACAAGAGGAAGAAGGAAUGGGUUUCAAAAGUUUACAAAAUGUGUCUAGAGCUUCAUUUGCAAAGCUAUGGUGGAACAUAAGGACUAAAGAAUCAUUGUGGAGAAGUUACACGACCAACAAGUAUCUAAAAAUACACAAUCUAGUGGUGGUACAAGCCAAGACAGGCACUUACAUAUGGAAGAAAAUGAUCAAAGUCAGAGAGGAGAUAGAACCUGAAAUCUGGUGGUUAAUUAAAGAAGGGAUUCAUACUUCUGGCUAGAUAACUGGACAGGAAUGGGAGCACUUCAUAAACUUAUUCCUCCGGGAGUAGAUUAUGACCAAACACUGAUCUUGGUCAAGGAUGUGGCAGAAGCAGGACAAUGGAAUGAACAGUACCUCAGAAAUCUACUCCCUCAAAAUCUGGUAAGAGUAUAUCCUUCACAAAAUUAACCCACCAAAGGAUGAGGAGGAAUCGAACAGACCUUAUUGGAAGCUGGAAUCCACAGGAAAGUUUACAAUGACUUCAGCCUUCCAUCAUAUUAGACAGAGACAAGAAGUGAAUAAGGUGUACAACUACAUAUGGACAAAAGGUAUGCCUACUAAAAUCUCAUUUUUUAUGUGGAAGCUGUGGAAAGCAAAAGUACCACUAGAUGAUACACUGAGAAGAUGGGGAAUUCAAUUUCCCUCCAGGUGCUAUUGCUGUGAGGACCCUAAGACAGAAAACAGAGCUCAUGUGUUCCUACAGUCAUCAACUGCCCAAAUGGUGUGAAAAUAUUUCCAUGGACCAGCAGGAAUGAAUACAGAGAACAAUGUUAUUAUUCCAAGUGGUGGGACAUAAAUGUUCAUCCCUAGAUUAACUACAUAUUUCAUGCUAUUCCUUCUGUAAUACUGUGGGAAUUGUGGAAAAGGAGAAACACCUUGAGACAUGGAGGGAAGAUGCCCAGUAACAGAUUGACAUAUAAGAUCAUGCACACACUGGCUUUAUUCAUAAAAGUAAAGAGGAGGAAUUGCAGAAAUGUCCCUAACAAUUGGGGUAUAAUGGUGGAGGCUCUAUAUACCUACAGUCCCACAGACAAGGUAACCAAAGUCAUUUGGAAACCACCUGACACAGGAUGGGUUAAAAGUUAAUACUGAUGGAGCAUCUAAAGUAAACCUAGGAAGGAGUUCUUGGGGUUUUUUGCAUAAGAGAUACCAAAGGGGAUGUACUACAGGCACAAGCUAAGGAGAUUGAAGAGUUAUCCUGUACAAAUACACAAGCAGAAGCCAUGGCUAUUUUACGGGCAUUGAAGUACAUAGAGACAGCACAUUUGGACAGGGUGAUUAUUGAAACUGAUUCUCUACUAAUUAAGAAUAUUGUAGAAAAAACUUGGAAGAUUCCGUAGAAAGUGGUGACUACAUUGGAGGAGAUAUGGAAACAGAUGCAAGGCAAAACAGAUCAUAACUCACAUUCUCAGGGAAGCAAAUAAAUUGGCAGACUAUAUGGCUAACUUAGCACUGGAGAAAGGGACUGUAAAAGUGAACAAUUUUUAAGAAAUGGAAUUUCCAAGGCAGGAGAAUUAUAAAUAGUGACAAGCUACUGGUGCCCUACAUAAGAAUAAGACUAUGCAGAAAGUGAAGGAUAGUCAAGAGAAGGAAAAGAAAAAGGAUCCUCAAGUUCAAAUCCUUCGGGAGGAGAGCUAUAAGGAUACGAUUUACACUAACUGUUUGCUCAAUAUUGUAGGUAUAGAGCACACAUGCAUCAUACAUCAAAGAAAAACAGUACACAAGAACCAAAAAAAAUCUAAAUACAUGGUAUACAAUUUUAAUACAAAUGAAGGAUCAAAAAACAGGCAAGCUGAUUUGAAUACAUCGAAGUUGGGACAGCGGUGGUAUCAGCAUCUUAAGAUGCUCAUCUCACUGUUCACAGGUCGAUAGAAAACAGUAAAAGGCCACAACCACGAGAGUCUAUUAAAAAACAGCCAGAAACAUUGGAUUGAAGAACAGAGCAAAAGCAACAACCACAAAAAUCGAGACAAGUACAUGAAAAAUUACCAGAAACAUAUCUUUAAAAAUGAAAGGACUAGAAAGAGAAAACUCAUACGCCAGAACCCCGAGUUCAAAUCCUUUGGGAGAAGAACAACAAGGAUAUGAUUUAAACUAACUGUUUACGUAAUUUCGCAGGAACGGAGCACACAUGCAUCAUACAUAAACAAAAAUAAACAGAACACAAGAACCAAGGAAAUUUAAGUACAUGGUAUACAAUCUCAAUACAAAGGAAGGAUCAGAAAAGGAGACACAUACAAGGGCGGGCUGUACUGAAUAAAUCGAAGUUUGGACAGUGGUGGUAUCAACAUCGUAAGAUGCUCAUGCCACUGUUCAAAAGUCGAUGGAAAGCAGUAAAAGGCCACAACCACCAGAGUCUCUUAAAAAACAGCCAUAAAAAUUGGAUUGAAGAACAGAGCAAAAGCAAUAACCACAAAAAUUGGGACAAGAACAUGGAAAAUACUGAGAAGCACAUCAUUAAAAAAGGAAAAUUCAUACCUUACUGCCAAGAUCAACACAGAGCCAUCAGAAGAGUAGAUCUGGAAUCACUUUCAACAACAACGAACUUCACCAACAACAGAUCUAGAAUCAAUGCCUACAACAACCUAGGAAUAAACAAGCAAACGUGAGAUACAUUUCGCAGAAAAGAAAAAAGGAAAUGCAACAAAACGCCUACAAAAAGGCCAGCAAGCUAAGAAAUGAUCGGGAAUCUCCAUACCGGAACUAAGAAGACCGACGGUCAUGGAGAUGAUGGAAAGUUCGAGACUUUUCAGUUUCAACUAGACAGAGUGUUACUUUUAGUUUUUUCUUUAUUAAUUCUAAAAACUUUUAUUAUUUAUAAUAAAAUAGUCAUCGGGAUCGUGUCCCGCUGACCUCUUUUCUUUAAAAAAAAAAAACAUUUGAAACAAAAAAGCAAAACCCUAGAUUUUCCAAACCUAAAUACUCCCUACUAAAGAUGAACCAUUCCAGCCAUAAAUUUAACUAUCUAAAAGGAAAGAGAAUGAAUAGCAUAACAUUUUUUGUAUACCUACUUAAGGAUCGAUUUUCUAGUCUUAGAUCAGAAAUCAAGCCCUCUUUUAGCACAAGUUACAGAUUUGCCUAUUCAGCACAGAAGCAUUAUGAAUUUUGCUUCUUAAAGUUAUAGAGCUGUACGAAGCUUUUAUAGAGAAUAAAAGGCUUUUUUCAGCAAAAAUAUCUUGCCUCUAGGUUUACUCCAUUGUGUGCUUUGCUGUCAGUAAAUUACACUCGACCAUCGGCUACAAGCAACUCCCACUCGCAAUAAAUAAGUCAAAAGAAUAUGUCUAAAACUUUAUAUCACAAGGGUUUAUAUACUCAAUCAUAAAAAAGCAGCAACCAUUGCAAUAUACCGAUAAUACAACAUAAGCAUAACAAGAAAAACAAAAAUCAAAUUGAGAAAUGCUUAUUUAAAUGAAAAGGGAAUAAUCAAGGUAUCUGCCUCAACUAUUCAAAAAAAACACGUCAUUCUUUUAUCAGAAUUCAUAUUAGUGCCUCUGGCUUGACCUUGAUUCCGGCAAUUACAAGCAUCCAAGAAGACCCCUUUGUCCAUAAUCAACUGCAUUUUCGCCUUGAAGAGGAACAAACGUUCUAGUUCCAUCAUAUAGAAAUGGGAACAGAGUAUGAAAAUGAGGUACCCUGAGUCCCUGACCCCAAAUACUAUUUAUCUUGAUAGACAUGAUGUCUGGGCCAACACCCCAAUAGAUCGAAAUCCUGUCUUUUACAACUAAAAAAGUGGUCCAGUCUUUUAGUCUCCAUGCAAAUUGCAAGGUACUUCCUAACCCCACUCUCUAUCAUAUAUGUUUUUCUUUAAAAAGAAGACAAUAUGGUUCAAUUCGACCAAACAACAACAGGCCAAGAGUCUACCAGAGCUACCAGUAAAUUUUUUACUGUAAAACCUAAAAUAUAAGCUUAUAGCAUAUUGAAAUAGAGUAAUUACUAAAUUAAGUAGCUCUCGUGCUUCCAAGUACACAUUUUAGAGAGAGUCAACACUCUUCACCUCAAACAACAACAACAUACCCAGUGUAAUCCCGUAGAUGGGUCUAGGGAGGGUAGGAUGUACCCACACCUUACUACCUUUGUGAGGUGGAGAGGUUGUUUCCAAUAGAAUCUUGGCCUCAAAAGAAGUGUAAUCAAAGUAGAGCACAAAGGAAAAUAAUGAUAGCAGAAUAGCAAGAUAAACAAAGCAAAUUAGAUAACAAAUACUACUAAAAGGGAAGGAUAAGAUACAAUGUGAAUACUAGCUAAGACUGCUAAUAAAGGAGAAGAGGAGACUUGCUCCCUGCCUCUCCAAUGUAAAAGUACUACAACACUCGUCUACCUACUACCCUUCUACUCUAAUCCUCGACCUCUAGACCUUCCUAUCUAGGCAUACUCGAAGUGGCCUCGACUCAAUAGAAGACAAAAUGCGGGAAAUGAGGCUGAGAUCGUUUGGGCAUGUGCAUAGGAGAUGCGCUGAGGUAAAGGUAGGCCGAAGAAAUAUCGGAAGAAGUGAUUAGAUAGGGCAUGACGCAACUUCAGCUAACCGAGGACAUAGUUGAGCUAUGUUUCGCUUAUCCUUCUAUACUAUUAGUCAUAGUAUUACCUUUGUAGUUUCUUGUCCGUUUGGUUAUUAUAAGUGGAUAUUUUACACUUGGAUUAUUGUUUUAUCUUGAUAUGACUAUUGUCUAGGAUAAUUUGUUAGGUUGUCUAUAGUAUUUUGCCACAACUUUCUUCAUUUCCGUUAUUUAUUUCUCUAUACUCCUUCAGACUGUUUUUCCUUGGGAUGAGGGUCUAUAGGAAACAACCUCUCUACCUCCAAGGUAGUGGGUAAGGUCUUUGUAUACUUUACCCUCCCCAUACCCCACUUGGUGGGAUUACACUGGGUAUGUAGUUGCGUAUAUAUAUAUUGAAUCCCCUUGACUUCUUUAUAUUUUGAAUCUCCUUAAAGCAAAAAUCCUGACUCUGCCACUGAUGGUACUGGAUGACCUACCUUAUUUUUCAAGAUUAUAAAAGUUAACUCUAUCUCUUUGUAUGCACUUCUCAGAAAAAGAUUGUGGGGUGGGACAGCAACUUGGAAUUUUAAAUGGUUAGAUACUUUCAGAGAAAAAAUCUUUUAACUAGUAUGAGUUUACAAUGAUAGGCUUUGGAUUGAUAUGCAGGAUCAGAAACAAGAACUAGCAGCCAACUUGAAACUCAAGCCAUGACAAGUAGAAGUUUGGUAUUAGAAUAGAAGAGCAAGGUAAUUCAUUGUGCACAUUAUUAUCAUGAGUUCAACUUACUUAUACUGAUAACAACUAACUGUUUAUUGCAAAAGACAUCCAGGAACAAACUGUUCGAACUAAAAGUAUCUAAGCAAAUAGGUCUGAAGGGUUCACCUCAGUAGAAGCGCACUACAGCAGAGGCAGAGGCUAAUGGUGCUUUCAUUAGAGAAGAAAUUAAUUGGGCCAAAGGUCAAUACCUGCUUUUCCGCGAAUAUCUUCAUUUCCUCUAACACCACGAAAUGCUCGAACAAAUAUUCCAGAUACUGAAUCACCUGCUUCUUCAUUGCAUGACCAGCUACCACCACCUUCUUGAGGUGAUGAGUCAAGCACUGGACAGGAGAAUCUACCAUAUUCCAAUAUUCAUCCGCAUCAAACUCAUAUGGGCGAGUCCAUGAGAGUGUGUUCUACAAUAAGCACAAGAGAAAUAUCCCGUCAAGAGUUGUACCAACCCGGCAACCCGAGAUAUAACGGACACUGAUAGGGACCAAAAAUUACAAAUUGCUAGGGUAACACAAGAUGAGAACACAUCUAUAGUUACUGUCAAACAAUCCAUAUAAAACCAUACAAGUUCAGAAAAUUAGUUCCACUUUGAAUACUGUUUUUGUCUUUUGGGAGAGUAACAGAGAACUAGAAAACACGAUAUCAUAUGUUUCUACUUGAUGAUUUCUCAGGAUUCCCAAUAUAAUGAGUAAAUAGAAGAGGGAGACUAGGAAAAAUCAUCCUAUUUCCAUAUAGUAGAGAAACACACACAUUUCAUAGUAGGGACAAUGUAUAUGAAAUUUGAAAAAAAAAAAUGUUCUUAUAAAAAAAACAGGAAAAUGCCAGAGUCAGUGCUCAACACAUCCCGGUUAUACCAACUCUGAUUAGUGUCUUACCAGUGUCUGAAACCAAAAUGUUGCCAAAUCUUUAGUGUCCCUGAUAAUAAGCUCCAAUCAAACAUUGCAAAGAAUGCAAUAAAACAACAAGAGCAAUAAACACAAUUAAAUUUUGUCAUACAUGGAAUGUAGAUUCAUAAGAAGUUAUUAUGAUGAUAAGAUUCUUCAAGCAAGGACAGUGCUUCAGCAAGUUCAGUAUUCCUGGUAGGUGCCAUUUCACUAAAUCCAAUUGAAGAUGAAGGGAUUUGCUGCUGAAGGCCGGAGAUGGUAGAUUUUUCAAUUGCCACGAAGAAAUUACCUAGGCAGACAAAAAUUAAACACAAAAGAUAAAAGAAACUAAAUAAAUAGAUUUUCGUAUUGAUCAAAUGUUUUUGUUGCUAUGUGAAACAUGAAUAUCUUCUAUCUAUUUUGUUGAACAAUGCAUAUCUAGACCAUGAAAACAUACUGUUUUUAAGUUCAAAUUAAGCACAAACACAUUUGAUACUAUGCACAAAUUUGGAGUGUACUUCAGAACAUAAGUAAAUGGUGUUGGCGAAGGAUUAUGGCUAAAGGGAAAUGAUUCUAUGCACUAUGAACAUGCUAUUAAAUGAUCAAGAAAACAAGGGUUUCUCUUCCUUAGGAAUUGGCAUGAUAAAGAAUGUCAUCAAGGAGUUCUUACAAUAGCAAAAAAUAAUACAUCAACCAAAUUUGAUGCAAAGACUUCUUACUGAACCAUGAAAAUUAGCCAUCUAAAUUGCAUAGAAGAAGUAGCCUAGAGUCAUAUGACAGCUUCACUAUAUUUUUGAGUUUUUACUGUCUAGCAUUGAAGAAGUAACCAAAUAAUCAUACUAAUUAUCUACCAUUCUGAGUUUUACAAAAAUGUGACAGCUUCACUAUACAAUAUACAUGCAAAAAUAUGCCAACUAUGCUGUAGGACAUAUCAUAUUGACUUAUCUACCACUCUGAGUUUUACAAAAACAGCAUGCGGGGGGUUAUUCUGAUGACAUUGAAAUAAAUCUUUCCUUUUCUCAUAACUUUUCUUAAGAGAAGUAGAGAAGCACAAAACCAAAGUCAUGAUCAACUAGGACUUGUCCUGACUACCACAAGGUAAGUAACAAAAGCAUUAAAACACUGAUUGCACACUGUACAUGAAGUAUUGGCAGAUGCCAAAACCUGAGGCAUUAAAGACAAUAUCCAACACCAUAACCCCUCUAGUCCAUAAAUGUACUGAUAUUCUAUCUCUUGAAUAGAAAAGUUCAUAGUUAGUAAAUUCACCUAUAAAGUUAUCUCUCAAUAGAGUCAGAAAUCAUAACUAUACCUGGAGAAGUUGUGAAAAAAGAGAAGAAGUGCGUACAGAGCAAACCAGGAACAUAGCUUGAGACUUUUGGCCCCAGUAAUUGUUUGGAGGAAUAUUCUCCUCUCUUGGUAAUCCCUGUACUCUCCGAAGUCAAAUUCUUCCAUACAAUUGGCAGACACUUAAACAAUAGAUGCAACAUUUGUAAUAUCCAAGACCUCUGACCUCCACGGUUUCAAACAUAUUUAAUGAUAGGAGUUGGACAGGAGACAUGUGUCCUUGUUACAAACCAUCUAAUGCCAAGUACCAAUGUCUUUAAAUUCGAAUUGAGCAGAACCACUCUUCUAUGGCCAUAGCAAAACAACAACGUCAAUUCCUCAAGAAUUGGGAAACCAUAUAGAAUAUAAUCCAUCGAUUGAUCCAUUAGUAUAACGUUAUCAAGAGAAAAUGUUGUUAAGAGACUUCAUCUCACUCUUCUUUUUUGUAUUUAUCUUUUUUGAUAAUUACAAAAAAGAAGAGUGAGAUGAAGUCUCUUUUUUGUAUUUAUCUUACAGAAUGCCAACUGGAGUUCAACCAAAUGAGGACUGCUUAGAACACAAUUACACAGAUCAUAUAAGCAUGUGGCUCAAAAAUACCAUGGACAAAGAAUGACAAGUCAAGGACCUUCAAAUUCUCAUUUAAUGCAAACUGGAUCCAGGUACCAAUUUCUUUAGCAUCCUUUUCUCAGUCCUCAGAAAAAUCAUUCUGCCGUAUGUCUGUUCUAUUGGAUACUCAUUGCCGAAUUGAAUGAGUUAAGCUAAAAUGAAAAUCAAGGCAGAACGUAUGAAGACUUGGGCUCUUGCUACGAAGAAGCACGUGAAGAACGAAAUUCAAGAACCUUUCGUCAUACUCAGGACAAACAGUUUUGACUAUAAUAGUCACAGUCGUGUUCUGGAAACAAAAUCAAAAGUGAGUGUGUGGACGAAUGGCUAGAGGUGAUGAAAUCUUCUAAUUAACAUUGUGUUGACAACAGCUUUUGAUGGCAAUAAGGAGAGAAUAUGGAUGAGGGAUAGCAUCUGGUACUGGUAGUCUGCUCAAGCGGUCUUCAUUAAAAAUGAAGCUUCUUUGUUUUGCAUACAUUUUCAUUUCUGUAAAAUAUCAUUACACAUUUAACUUUUUAGGUGCAAGAAAUUGAAAACUAUGAGCUGAAGAAAAUCUUUAGCCUUAAAUUGGCAUAUUCGGAAAGAACAGGUUAUUCCAGAUUGAGGAUUAAUAUAUAGAGAGGGGCUGGCAUAUGUUAUUCCUACACACCAAGAGGAAGGGAACAAGACCUUUCAUCCCUCAAGUUAAUCAGAUUCAGGAAAUCCUAGAGUGCAUCAAUCUCAGCAUAUAAAAUUUCCAUUUAGAGAUAACAGUUCAUGAUGAUAAAACAUGAGAUCACACAUAUUGGGAAAUUUUUUAAUGUAAUUAACUUUUGAAGUUUGGAUUAAAAAAUUUCUAAGAUAGCAAAUGCUAUCUAUAUUCAAUAAUUUUCUAAGAGUACUGAUACAACAAUUAAGUGCAAACUCAACUAUCUUUUUUUUUUUUAUGGAAUAACCAUGGUAUUCGGGUCAGCUUGCUCCCACUCGACUAAUUCCACAGGAUACAUGCCACCUACCACCAUCAGAGUACCAAGUAACUUUGUCCACCAAGGCUUGGACAAAUGAGAAGAAAUCACCUAGCGUUUUUGCCUCUACUGGAAUUUGAACCUGAGACCUCAUGGUUCUCAACCCACUUCAUUGACCACUAGAUCACACCCUUGGGUGUCAAACUCAACUAUUUGUUGCACAAAACAUUAAAAGGAUGCCGAUUAUAAAUAUUCAACGGAAAAAGAGAUGUAUAUGCUUACAGAUCCAAGGCAUAGACCUAAGACAACCAGACAGAUCAUAAACCAAGAAAAAAAAAAAGCAUAACAAAGGUAUGAAGUAUCAGUAACUAAAAAAUAUCAACAGAACUCAUGGACCAUUAAGUGGAAUGUGGCUCACAUUACUAAGUAUGUAAUUACAUUUUCACACCGAGAUUUUGAAACAACAUAGAAAUGCAGAUUUGCUAUUCUGAAAGUGAAAGGCCCCUAUCAAAAGACAACCUGCACACAGAUGCGAUAAGUGCAUAAAAUAUAUACCAAUUUUCUUCGACCAAUUUCAUAACAGUUCUCUUCGCUUUUAGAUAAAAAACGGAACAUAUCUGCACAGACUUGCACAUACCAAUAAGUUGUUGCCUUGAAAGAGCCGACAUUUGAAAUAGCACAUGAGCAAAAACCAAAAUCUCAUAUAUAGCACACAGCUUACAAUAGAUUCAAACCAAAUUUUAAGCAAAAAAGUGAGCAGGACAAAAUUUAAGUAUCUAAAAACAGAAUACUUGGGCUUGUUAUACCCUGAAAUGAAAGAAAGUGAACCUUUCUUUCUUUUUAUACCUUUGAAAGAAAAAAGAAUAAAUAGCAUAACAUUUUUUGUAUACCUUCUUUGGAAUCAAUUUUCUGGUGUUAGAUCAGAAAUCCUCUUCAGCACAGAAACAUUAUGGAGGAUAUUAAGCAUUUUCAGCCAAAAUAAUUUGCCACUGGGCUUACUCCUCUGUGUGUUGUGCUAUCAGUACAUUAGAUUCAACCGUCGGCUACAAGCAACCCUCACUUCACACUAUAUAAGCCAUAAAACUUUAUAUCUAAGGGUUACAUAUACUCAAAUCAUAAAAAGCAGCAAAACCAUCACAAUAAUACAACAUAAGCAUAAACCAGAAAACCUAAAACUACUCAUACAUUAAAUGACUAAAGUCUCAACAUGACCUUGAUCCUACCAUAUAGAGCUACCAAGGAAAACAAUUAUAAACGAAAAAAAAUAAAUCAAGGCAUCUUACCUCAACUAUUCAGAAACCACAUCAUUCCUUUAUCUGAAUUCAUAUGAACAGAAUGUAAAAAUGAAGUAUCCUGACCCCAAAACACUUCUUAAUAGAUAAAAAUCCUGUCUUUUACAACAAAUAACAAAAAAAAAUUUAAAAAAAUCCAGUCUUUUACUCUCUGUACAAAUUUCAAACAAAUUGCAAUAUGCUUCCUAACCCAACUCGCUAAAGAGAAGAACAAUAACUUUAAUAGAGUAAUUUAACUAAAAAAUGAAAUUCUUGAACUCAAAUCUUAGGAUCAAAAUCAUACCCAUAAAUCAAAAUACACAAACCAAACACAACAUUAUAAUCUCAAAAUUAUAACUUAAACUUCCGAACCAAACGACCCCGAAACUAACAAACAACCCUUAGGAUUCCAAUAUUAUUUAGAGCCAAAUCUUCUACUUCUACUCCUCUCCCGUCUCAAUUUAUGUGCUAAUAUUAGCUUUAGUCUAAUUUUGCUUGUAAAUUUGAAUAUAAUUUUUCAAUUUUCUUAAAAUGAAAUUGAUAUAUUUAAAAAUUAAAUUAUUGUUAAUUUAAAAUAUAUAUAUAUAAAAAAAAUAGAAUUAAAAAUAGACUAUUUCGGAAUUCGAAAACUAUCACAUUAGGUUUAUACAGCUAUUCUGUAUAGCCAAAAAUAUACUCAUAGGGUAAAUGUAGUGUUAAAUAUUACACUAAUGUCCUUAAAAGAUUAACCAUUGUCCAUUAACACUAAAUUUUUAAGAAAGUUUAUUUAAAAUUUAUGUGACAUUUAUUAUUGAUUAUAAUUUGAUAAAUUAAAUUAUAUAAAAAAAUUACCAUGGAAGGUCGAUAUUUUGUAAUUCUUUUUUUUUAUAUACUUUUGGAGGUCGAUUUAUAUUUUUUUGAUAUCUUUGGAGGUCAAUUUUUUUUCACAAAAUAUAAAUUUGAAGAGAAUAAGUAUUGAAAAACCUAGUAAGAGCUUGUGUGGGUAAGUUAAAAAAACAGGUUAGUAAACUUAUUGGGGUUAUAGUUUCAAAUUGAAUCGGUAAAAAAAAUAUUACGUGAAUUCUAAAUAAGCUCUUUUCAAGUUCGAUGUUGAUGUUUGUCAUAAGUGAGCCAAAAAUAUAAUUAGAGGAAUAUUCUUAGUAAAAUAGACGGACAAAGAAUAUAAUACACCUUUUGCGAGAAUUCAUAGACAUUGUAGAUCCUCUUCAUUUAACAAAAUUACACAAGUAUACAACUGACUCACUAGGAGGAUUUUUAUUUUUUUUGGAUUUCCCAUCCAGACCCAUAUUGAAGCCCGACUUAAUUUGGAUUUGCACAGAAAAAUCCCAUAUUGGGUGUAAAGCGCUCUCUAACAAAGGCGACUCCAUAUCUAGGGGACUCGAAACCGAGACCUCUUUCAACUUGUGAAAAAUUUCUGCUAGUACUCAAAAGUACCAAUGAUAGUAAAACCUUAUGAAAAGCCUAACAGCUAAAAAAUAGUCCUGAGGACAAUCUUGCAUGAUGUUUUAAGGAGUAGAAAGCAGAACAACUAAUAGAAGGCCCAUCAAUCUGCCUUUCUCCUCUUCUAGGCUCUCAUGUAAAUGCAAUUUCACACAUAAAAAGAAAAAAAAAACUUUAUAACAUCCAACAAGAUAGCACUUCAACAGUUAUUACAGAAAAUGGAGGAAACUGUGUCCACAGGACAAUUCAUUGUGCACAGACCAAUAGCAGCUAACUGUUUAUUGCAAAAGAGUUCCCAGAAACAAACUGUUCGAACUAAAAGUAUCUACUAAGGGUUCACCUCAGUAGAAGAGCACUGCAGCAGAGGCAGAGGCUUUUGGUGCAUUCAAUAGCCUCUCUUCAUAUUCACAAAUUUUAGAGGUUUUUUUCUUUGCAAAUAUCUUCAUUUUCUUUAACACCAUGGAAUGCCUGAGCAAAUAUUCCAAAAACUGAAUCACAAAUUUCUUCUUUAUGAGACCAGCUACCUCCACCGUCUUGAGGUGAUGAAUCAUGCACUGGACAGGAGCAUCUACCAUGUUCCAGUAUUCAUCCGCGUCAAACUUAUAUAGGUGAUACCACGAUAGUUGUUUCUGAAAUAAGCACAAGAGCAAAUCUCCCAUAAAGAGUUGUACCAACCCAAGUAUAACAGACACUGAAUAGUGUACUGUCCAAACAAACAUUGCAAGAACACAGUUAAUAACAAGAGCAAUAAAACAAUUAAAUUUUGUCAUACUUGGGAUGUAAAUUCAUUGUAAGAAGAAGUAAUUUUGAUGAUAAGAUUCUCCAAGCAAGGACAGUGCUUCAGCAAGUUCAGUAUUCCUGGUAGAUUCCAUAUCAUAAAAUCUAAUUGAAGAUGAAGGGAUUUGCAGCUGAAGGUUGGAGAUGGUAGAUUUUUCAACUGCCACGCAGAAAAUACCUAGGCAGACAAAAAUUAAACAUAAAAGUCAAAGAAACUAAACAAAUAGAGAUUUUUGAAUUGAGCUUAAUGAACAAUGUAAGACUUGUGCUGACUACC